rnacentral:rRNA from 1 species
UGGGGAAUAUUGCACAAUGGGCGCAAGCCUGAUGCAGCCAUGCCGCGUGUAUGAAGAAGGCCUUCGGGUUGUAAAGUACUUUCAGCGGGGAGGAAGGGAGUAAAGUUAAUACCUUUGCUCAUUGACGUUACCCGCAGAAGAAGCACCGGCUAACUCCGUGCCAGCAGCCGCGGUAAUACGGAGGGUGCAAGCGUUAAUCGGAAUUACUGGGCGUAAAGCGCACGCAGGCGGUUUGUUAAGUCAGAUGUGAAAUCCCCGGGCUCAACCUGGGAACUGCAUCUGAUACUGGCAAGCUUGAGUCUCGUAGAGGGGGGUAGAAUUCCAGGUGUAGCGGUGAAAUGCGUGGAGAUCUGGAGGAAUACCGGUGGCGAAGGCGGCCCCCUGGACGAAGACUGACGCUCAGGUGCGAAAGAGUGGGGAGCAAACAGG